CGUCCAAGUCAAUUGCCAGCGCGGAAAGAAUCAAGCCACCGAAGACACGGAAACACGAGUGUGUGUAAUGCUCUGCAAUCAUUGAUGCGUGAGGAAUCCAUUUAAAAACAGCCUCACGUUACGCUGUCUGUUGUCUGGCUCCUGCUGUUUGGCUCUCUCCUUACUUCAUCUUUAUGGAUUACCGGCUGGCGCCUGAUGCUUCCUGCCACUC